rnacentral:rRNA from 1 species
AUAUUGGUCAAUGGAGGCAACUCUGAACCAGCCACGUCGCGUGAAGGAUGACGGCCCUACGGGUUGUAAACUUCUUUUAUACAGGAAUAAAGUGAGUCACGUGGUACUUUUUGCAUGUCCUGUAUGUAUAAGGCUCGGCUAACUCCGUGACAGCAGCCGCGGUAAUACGGAGGAUCCAAGCGUUAUCCGGAUUUAUGGGGUUUAAAGGGUGCGCAGGCGGAAGAUUAAGUCGGCGGUGAAAUUUUGCAGCUCAACUGUAAAAGUGCCAUCGAUACUGGUUUUCUUGAGUGUGGAUGAAGUAGGGGGAAUUUGUGGUGUAGCGGUGAAAUGCAUAGAUAUAACGAGGAACUCCGAUUGCGCAGGCAGCUUACUAGGCCAUAACUGACGCUCAGGCACGAAGGCGUGGGGAUCAAACAGG